CACGUAGGGUGCGAGCGUUGUCCGGAAUUAUUGGGCGUAAAGAGCUCGUAGGCGGUGUGUCGCGUCGGCCGUGAAAACCUGCAGCUUAACUGUGGGCUUGCGGUCGAUACGGGCAUCACUGGAGUUCGGCAGGGGAGACUGGAAUUCCUGGUGUAGCGGUGAAAUGCGCAGAUAUCAGGAGGAACACCGGUGGCGAAGGCGGUUCUCUGGGCAUUGCCUGACGCUGAGGAGCGAAAGUGUGGGGAGCGAACAGG
rnacentral:rRNA from 1 species